CAGAAUGGUUUCAGCACUAUGUGCUUCUUCCGGUACAGAAUCUGAGCGCCUUGCUCCAAGUUACUGGCUGAGGAGGUGAAGAGCCUGUGCAGUGGUUCCCCUAUCCCAGCUCUUGGGUGCAUCCCCUCCACCUGAGAUCUUUUGUAAAAACAAAGGAACAAUCCUUCUGCUGAUAAGAGUUGGCACACUGCAGGCUUUCAAUCUGCUACUGGAGCCACAAAAGUCCAGGUACGACACCUCGAUGCUAUCCCAGAAAUUCAGGAAAGGGGGAGAGGACUGUCUCUGUGUUGUAAAUGCUACGUGUGACGACUACUAACUCUGAACUCAGUCCUGUGGCAAGACAGUGGUCUGCAAGCUAACCUGCUUUCUACCGAAUGAACAAAAGGAUAUAGGUUAUUCUCGUGGCAACUCUUAGAAAACCUCCUUGUGCUUCUGAGCUGCAGAUUUUGGAAAACGUGCCCCAUUCUAACAUUACAGGCACCAGAAACUCGUUAGGAUCUUUUCUAUGAGGAAGAUGAAAGACAUCUUGCCUUUGUCCACGUUACAGGCAUCUAAAGGACAUUGGAGCUCUCCUGUGAGAAGUUUGGUCAGGGGCUAUUUUAAAGCAGUUUCAUGGAAGACACAGAAGAAGGUACUCAGCUUCGAAGUGCUGCUUCCCACCCCUGUUUCAGCACAGAAAUAUCUCUGCAGGGUAUGGUGGCCAAGACCACAGGACACUUGGCAUUCUGCUCUCACCCCCAAAACUCUGCAGCAAUUCUCCUUCACAGAACAUCAGAGCAGAGCAAGAGUAGUAGCUGCAUGAAACUAAAUGCUGUGCUCUCUUCUUCGGGAGCAAGAGGGAGAAAACUUCCACCACUGCAAUACUUCUUCUCCCCUUACCAGGAAUUCCCUUCUCUUCAGUCUUUGAUGGCUGAUGAGGAGGUAGCGUUAGUGAGAGGGGCUGACUUCAAGGGAAGCUAUGAUGGGGCAAAAGCAUAAAAACUGCUAUAGGGUUAAAAAGAAUAGCUGUGUGCUCUGCUUGAAAAAUGUGAGAAAGCCUGUGUGCGUUCUACUGAGCAGCUGCAGCUUCUGGGAUGAAGAUGAGAGUUUUGUGGAGGGCUGACUAUUGUAACCCUUCGUGUAAAGGAAAUGGGUGCAGAAGACAGGUGGCCUCUUGCAGGAGCCGUUCGAGCUAAUACUGGGAAAAAGCAAAGUCUAUGGAGGUCAAAUUCUGGAGGAAUAUGAUAUAAAUUCAAAGAGAGCUA